CGACGCCACUGCACAAAGGAGCUAGAUAUUUGAUAAAUUCUCAAAUGGAGAACGGGAUUUCCCACAACAGGAAAUCAUGGGAGUGUUCAACCGGAAUUGCAUGAUCAGUUACUCCGCGUAUCGCGACAUUUUCCCUAUUUGGGCAUUAGGCGAAUAUCGCACUCGAGUAUUGCAGCCGGAACGG